UUCACGUUCUCCAAACGUCACAUUUCGAAGUUGCUCCAAAUGUAACAUUUUUAACUGUUUUUGUUGCUCCUGCUGCUCUGUAUUGUUCCAAGUUUAGGCACUCAUUAAGGUAAGGGUUAAGGAUUGGGAUAGUGUUACAACAUAAUGUUUAGGCACUCAUUAAGGUAAGGGUUAAGGAUUGGGAUAGUGUUACAACAUAAUGUUUAGGCACUCAUUAAGGUAAGGGUUAAGGAUUGGGAUAGUGUUACAACAUAAUGUUUAGGUACUCAUUAAGGUAAGGGUUAAGGAUUGGGAUAGUGUUACAACAUAAUGUUUAGGCACUCAUGAAGGUAAGGGUUAAGGUUUGGGAUAGGGUUACAACAUAAUGUUUAGGCACUCAUUAAGGUAAGGGUUACGGUUUGGGAUAGGGUCACAACAUAAUGUUUAGGCACUCAUUAAGGUAAGGGUUACGGUUUGGGAUAGG
rnacentral:lncRNA from 1 species